rnacentral:miRNA from 1 species
UCCUUGGUCACCGGUCAGUCCGG